CCUCCCCCAUACCUUCGCAUAGCGAAGAGCCUCUGAACAAUGGGGUACGAAGUUUUUUUAUAGAAUUGAUAGUAAUGAUGAUUUUAGUAUUGAAAGUAUUAAAAAUAUUAGUUAUAUUAAUCUAUUAUUAUAAUCGUCAGCAUUUUUAGAUUGAAUAUUAAGGUGAAUGUGAAAUAAAUCAAAUAAUUUUAUAAAGUCAAGGUGAUGGAUAAUUAUUAAUUAGGGAUACUCUAAAAAAAAGAAGUUAAGGUUCAGGUUGAAAUGACUUCUGGGUUGUAUGCUUUUGAUUUCUUAAACUCUUGCACUAUUGGAGAAAAGCUAGCCCAUUUUGCAGUGUUUUUCUUGUUUUGCCUUGUGUACUUAAUAUAAAGAAGCACUUCUUCACACUCUUGCUGCAUUCCGAUUGUGGUCCCAUACUCCCAUGUGUGUUGAUUCGGUGAUUGUUACAAGAAACAAAUCAUACUUCCUUGAAAGGAGCAACAAAGUUUGCAUUUUCUUUGUACCUCGAAGCCUCAACUUUUGCCGAGCAACUUUAGAACAUGGUUCUUAAUAGAUUGAUACUUUGGUUGCAGUGCUAGAUACGGUUGACUUGAUGUAAACCUAUAUGGAACACUUAACACAACUUACACAAGCAUGAUUGCAGCCAUUAUCUGCAUCUGGGUUCUUAGCCUGGUGCUUGAGGAGAAGGCUGUGCCUUGAUGUCCAUAAAAUAUUCUUGAAGACGUCUUCAGCAUUUAAAGAGUGGUUAUUCAAGUAAUAAUUAUAUUAUUCUAUUAGAAAGCAAGCUUCAUCUCUCACAUUGGGAGAUCAUCUUUCAGCAUGCAUCACCAUGGCCUUGGGACCAGAAUACUCGGUAUCUUUUUUGUCUAAAGCCGUACCUAAUGCUUAAUAGUCACUGCAACGUAAUGCUGCUACACUAUGAAAAUCUGUUCAUUGGUGUAUUUCAAAAGUUAGUGACCAAAUGAUUUUGGCUUUUGUCUGCUUAAAGAUGAUACUGAUAAUACAACAGGAAAGAGGAUGAUAAACACUAGACAAAAAAAGCUGGAGAUUUCAUUCUCUACUUAAAGAUGUCAUUGGGCUAAUUGGGUCUCAUUUUCCUGCUUGCAUUGAUUUCAUCCCAAGGACAAGAAUGCAAGAGCUAUUUCUCUGGACUGUCAAAAAUCGUCUCAACUAAAGGAAGAUCAAAAGCGAAGGGAACAUGAAAAGAUCGAAGAAAUGCUCAGUACGAAAGAAAUUCAUCGUGAUUCCAAGCUGUGCCCUUAAUGUGACAUGGCAAUUUCUCGAACUGAAGGUUGUAACAAAAUGAAAUGUGGUAAUUGUGAACAAUACUUCUGUUACCGCUGCAACAAAGUAAUUGAUGCAUCAGAACCAUAAGUACAUUUCAGGUGCAGAUGGAUUUCGGGGAAAGAACUAAGGUUGAUGUGGUCGGGGGAAGGAGAUUAUUUGCUGAAUCUGAUGUCAUUGUUCUACAAAAUUACUAUUUAUAAAUGUUUUUUCCUUUUCUUCCUGUUGGCACUAAAAAUAAUUAGCCCAAGGAGUUGGUCUAUUGGCAUCGGCUAGCGGCUGAUUUAGCCGAUAACUAAUAAUCACCCAAUUUUUGUCAAA